rnacentral:rRNA from 1 species
ACCGUGAGGGAAAGGCGAAAAGAACCCCGGCGAGGGGAGUGAAAAAGAACCUGAAACCGUGUACGUACAAGCAGUGGGAGCACGCUUAGGCGUGUGACUGCGUACCUUUUGUAUAAUGGGUCAGCGACUUAUAUUCUGUAGCAAGGUUAACCGAAUAGGGGAGCCGAAGGGAAACCGAGUCUUAACUGGGCGUUAAGUUGCAGGGUAUAGACCCGAAACCCGGUGAUCUAGCCAUGGGCAGGUUGAAGGUUGGGUAACACUAACUGGAGGACCGAACCGACUAAUGUUGAAAAAUUAGCGGAUGACUUGUGGCUGGGGGUGAAAGGCCAAUCAAACCGGGAGAUAGCUGGUUCUCCCCGAAAGCUAUUUAGGUAGCGCCUCGUGAAUUCAUCUCCGGGGGUAGAGCACUGUUUCGGCAAGGGGGUCAUCCCGACUUACCAACCCGAUGCAAACUGCGAAUACCGGAGAAUGUUAUCACGGGAGACACACGGCGGGUGCUAACGUCCGUCGUGAAGAGGGAAACAACCCAGACCGCCAGCUAAGGUCCCAAAGUCAUGGUUAAGUGGGAAACGAUGUGGGAAGGCCCAGACAGCCAGGAUGUUGGCUUAGAAGCAGCCAUCAUUUAAAGAAAGCGUAAUAGCUCACUGGUCGAGUCGGCCUGCGCGGAAGAUGUAACGGGGCUAAACCAUGCACCGAAGCUGCGGCAGCGACGCUUAUGCGUUGUUGGGUAGGGGAGCGU